UGAUCUCAGGAGAAUCUGAUGAAGAUCAUCUCUGACUACGGGAAAUUUGACACGUUCAAGUCGUUGUUGGAGAAAGCGGACCUGGUCUCGGUCCUGGACCGUCCCGGGCCAAUCAGCGUCUUCGCUCCGAGCAGCUUGGCCUUCGACGCCAUGCCCGAGGGUCACCUGGCGCACCUGAGCAGCGCCGAGGGUCUCCACAAACUGGUGGAGCUGCUGAGGAACCACAUCGUCCCGUCCACAGCCGUGAG